UCCUUCCUGUUGUCUAAGCUCCCCUCUUCCGUAGGCACAAACCUGCCCCCUCUGCGUUUUUUACCUUAAAACAGGUGUUCUGAGGAUUGUCUCUAGUUCUGGCGACGUCUUGAAAGAACUGAGUCUGAGCGAGGCAGACAGACGGCAGCAUUAGUGGUGAUGGAGCUGCACUGCUAAAUGUGGAGAUGGGAGGGGAAACACACCUGGGCUUCCACAGGGCAGGAGAAGAUCUGUCACUUGGGCAGAGCCUUUGAGUCGCACUCAGGUGAUCUCCAGGACUCCCGAAAGAAGCCUGGUGUUCUACACUCUCCCACCUGUGCUCCGAGGAGAGGUGUAGACUAUCUCUUGGAUUUUGCUUGGAGGAUGUCCUUUCCGGACUCAGGACCUAGGAGAGACCAGCAGGAAACAGAACAGAGUCUACAUAGGUGAAUAUCAAAGAAUCACCUGGAGAGAUUUACAGGACAGCGAGUGAGCAAUACAUUCUCUGCUCUUCAAGUUUCCCCGAUUAAGGUGUUUUAUUACAGACAACAGACUGGGACAAAAGGCCUGAGUCACAGACCAGUGAUUGGCAAAACAGAGAAGCUGAAGCAACUGUACAGCAAGCAGGAGCUCACACACGGGAGCCUACCUCUGGGAAUGCCGAGAAGUCAAUGCAAUGGUCACAUCUCGUGUAACUUGGUGCCUUACAUAAACCAUGGAAUAAUUAGGCUUUCUUCAGGAUGUAAGGAAAUUCCCUACAUCAGAGGACCUUACUAUCCAAGCUAAGGUAAGAAUGAAGUCCCAGCCGCAAGGGUGAUGGAAGGGAGACGAUGAAGAUAACAUAUGGUGGGAACAUCUCCAGGGAUGAUGGGAGAUACGGCUACAAAUGCUGCAUCCUAGGAGGAUGAAUUCUUUUCCUGUCUGCCAGUGAUCUCAGUUUUGUCAAUCAUUUCCAUGUACCCUCCCACUUCCUACAACUGCACUUAAGCCUUAGAAGAAAUAGGACAGGCAGUCUGGACAACGAGUGACACCAGGGAGUCCCUAGGUGUGUAUUUCCUUGUAUGUCUCUGUAAGUGUGGUCCCCAGCAUCCUAAUGGUUUGAUUUUGGCAGUAACUGGCUUUCUUAGGCACACCACCACUGUCGUUGUGGCAUGCUCACUAAACAUGGACUCCCUGUUCUUUGCUAAUCAAAUCUACCUGUAUACUCAGAAAUGCCACGAGUAGUCUAAGGCAGGCAUUGGCUAUGCCUACCUGUCACCUCUUUGGGAAA
rnacentral:lncRNA from 1 species